AAAGUCUUAACCUGGCACCAGAAAGAUAGCAGCGUUGGUGCCAGGCGAGCCUUGUCAAGGAGAUCAUUCCAUAGUCUGGGGGCCACCACCGAAAAGGCCCUGUCCCUCGCUGCCACACUCCGAUCUAAACACGGAGUACUAUUGUUAGGACUCUUCUUAGCUCUAGAGUUUUCAAAGUCCUUUGCAAAUUAAGUCUGGCUCUAAAAACACACACAUCAGAUUAAAUCAACAAAGAGUCUUGUGACACCUUAAACACUAACAGAUUUAUUCUGGUAGAAGCUGUUGUGGACUAUAGCCCGUCUUAUGCCAGAAUAAAUUUGUUAGUCCUUAAUACAAGAGCCUUUGUUAUUUUUGCUGCAAUAGGCAAACAUGGCUACCCUCUGGAAAUGUUACAAGUUGUAUUUAUUUGACUUCAAGGCUCUUCAGAAAUAGUCACCAACGGUAUGCUCUGUUACGAUUUGGAGGGGAGGAUGAUUCACAUGGUCACUUGUCCAUUUGUGCUGACUUCUGCCCCCGGCAUGGCAACUGUUCAUACAUAUCCUUCUACUAUGAUUGCAAAUUACCUGAUGCGUAUGGAAAAUGCAUUGUGGAGAGUUUCAUUCAUGGGUGAGUUGGUGCUUUGUCCACGAAACUGGUUUGCUAUGGCAGAUUCAAUCCUUGCAGACCAUUGGGGAGAAAAUGGUUGUGUGGACUGAAUUAGGUGUGAUUGUGGACCCUCAUGUUCAGUUGUGUCUUUGAGACUGAUCUUGCAGGAGAAGAUUCGUGAGAACUGGCAAUGCAUUCUUCCUUCAUCUUUGGGCUGACCCUGUAGUGUGGAAUUAGAUUUCCAUCCCAGAAGCCUUAUUUCCUUAGAGGAUGUUCCUCAACCAGGAACUUUUCAUCUGGAAACAGAUCUCUGUAGGAUAAACAACAUGAAAGCUGGUUGGAAGUCUCAUUGUCUGUUGUGUACCUACUGCCCUUUGUCACUAGCUAUGGGACAAGGGAUAGGAUGGAACGUGUUUUCAGAGACUUGUGUGUGUGUGUUUGUAUGUAUGUGCAUCAUCUGAGCUGUGCCUGCAUUGGAAGCACUAAUAAAACAUCCUGACCACA